UAGGGGGGGAUUGGCCAUGGGCGAAGCCUGAUGCAGCGACGCCGCGUGCGGGAUGACGGCCUUCGGGUUGUAAACCGCUUUCAGCAGGGAAGAAGCGAAAGUGACGGUACCUGCAGAAGAAGCGCCGGCUAACUACGUGCCAGCAGCCGCGGUAAUACGUAGGGCGCGAGCGUUAUCCGGAAUUAUUGGGCGUAAAGAGCUCGUAGGCGGUUUGUCACGUCUGCUGUGAAAGCCCGAGGCUCAACCUCGGGUGUGCAGUGGGUACGGGCAGACUAGAGUGCAGUAGGGGAGACUGGAAUUCCUGGUGUAGCGGUGAAAUGCGCAGAUAUCAGGAGGAACACCGAUGGCGAAGGCAGGUCUCUGGGCUGUUACUGACGCUGAGGAGCGAAAGCAUGGGGAGCGAACAGGAUUAGAUACCCUGGUAGUCCAUGCCGUAAACGUUGGGCACUAGGUGUGGGGGACAUUCCACGUUUUCCGCGCCGUAGCUAACGCAUUAAGUGCCCCGCCUGGGGAGUACGGCCGCAAGGCUAAAACUCAAAGGAAUUGACGGGGGCCCGCACAAGCGGCGGAGCAUGCGGAUUAAUUCGAUGCAACGCGAAGAACCUUACCAAGGCUUGACAUGGACCGGAUCGCUGCAGAGAUGCAGUUUCCCUUCGGGGUCGGUUCACAGGUGGUGCAUGGUUGUCGUCAGCUCGUGUCGUGAGAUGUUGGGUUAAGUCCCGCAACGAGCGCAACCCCUAUCCUAUGUUGCCAGCACGUGAUGGUGGGGACUCAUGGGAGACUGCCGGGGUCAACUCGGAGGAAGGUGGGGACGACGUCAAAUCAUCAUGCCCCUUAUGUCUUGCGCUUCACGCAUGCUACAAUGGCCGGUACAAUGGGUUGCGAUACUGUGAGGUGGAGCUAAUCCCUAAAAGCCGGUCUCAGUUCGGAUCGAAGUCUGCAACUCGACUUCGUGAAGUUGGAGUCGCUAGUAAU
rnacentral:rRNA from 1 species